AUGUUUCCUAAUACUAAUGUUUUUAAUUUACCAAUCAUUCAUUCGCUGAGUGAUCAUGCACCUAUUCUGAUAUCCACUGAUUCUCAGUUUCGUAGGCCUAAACUACACUUUAAAUUUGAAAAUUGGUGGACUUUUGAGGAAGAUUUCCAGGGCAUUGCUAAAAAUGUUUGGGACUCCUCGGUUAAUAGACCAUUCGAUGUCAGAACCAAUAACCUUGCAGGGACUUUGAAAAGGUGGUGCAAAAAGAAAAAACCUUUACAGCAUCAACUUGAUUGUAUUCAGGAUCAGAUCAAUGAGAUUCAAAUGAAGCCGGUGCAUCUCCAAGACUAUUCCCUUCAGGCAAGCCUAGUUGCCCAAUAUGAAGGCCCAGUUUGGAUACUACUUUGCCGCAAGAUACAAACGACUUCACCUACUCGAUCCCUGAUAAACAUGAGAUAUGGAAAAUUCUCAAAGGCGUGA
rnacentral:rRNA from 1 species